GGAGACUGUAGCUCAGUGGUAGAGCAUCUGCUUUUCAUGCAGGAGGUCCUAGGUUCAAUCCCCGGCAUCUCCA